CAUAACUGUUAGCUGGAGUGGCUCAAAUAAUGGAGUCGGGACUUACAAAAGUUACAAGGUUGAAUGGAAGAUGCAUUUACUGGUAGUUGAGGAACCUUUGUACUGGUGUGAGUUGGCGGUCUCUGCAAUUGUGUAUCCGGAUAACCAUUACUUUAUUUCCAGGUAACCCAUUUUAGUUUCAACUAACUCAGAGUGAAGAGGGACCAAGAGACGUUCUAUAUAAGGCAAGCUCCACUCCCUCAAAGCAUCUAAUCUAUUUGUUCUCUUUCAUCAGGCUCUGUGCAAUUGCUAUAACACAGUGAUCCUUUUCUUUGUUUAGGAAUUUUUUACUUAGAAUCAUGGGUCCUGGAGGGCCUGGAGGACCUGGUUGGGGACCUCCUGGAGGAGGACCUGGUUGGGGACCUCCUGAUGGAGGGCCUGGAGGAUUUUUUGGCUGCAUUCAACAAUGUUUCUACUUUCUGUGCUGCUGUUGCCUGUUACAAGAAUGUUGUGCAUUUUGCUGCCCACCAUUUGGAGGGCCUCCAAACUGAACAAAACCCACAUUUGUGGAAAGCUUCCUGAAUCUGCAAAUGUGCUUUGUGCUAAGUAGGACAUACAUAUAUAUAAAUAAUGUGGCAGUUGUAUAGUUUGACAUUUUAAUGGUAAAAAUCUUUGUUUCUGUUUUCC